rnacentral:rRNA from 1 species
CAGCCGCCGCGGUAAUACGGAGGAUGCAAGCGUUAUCCGGAUUUAUUGGGUUUAAAGGGUACGUAGGCGGAGACUUAAGUCAGUAGUGAAAUCCUGCAGCUUAACUGUAGAACUGUUAUUGAUACUGGGUCUCUUGAAUAUAGUUGAAGUAGGCGGAAUGUGUAAUGUAGCGGUGAAAUGCUUAGAUAUUACACAGAACACCGAUUGCGAAGGCAGCUUACUAAGCUAUGAUUGACGCUGAGGUACGAAAGCGUGGAGAGCGAACAGGAUUAGAUACCCUGGUAGUCCACGCCGUAAACGAUGAUCACUCGUUGUUGGCAAUACAUCGUCAGCGACUGAGCGAAAGCAUUAAGUGAUCCACCUGGGGAGUACGCUCGCAAGAGUGAAACUCAAAGGAAUAGACGGGGGCCCGCACAAGCGGAGGAACAUGUGGUUUAAUUCGAUGAUACGCGAGGAACCUUACCUGGGCUUAAAUGCAAAACGAAGGAUCGGGAAACUGAUCUGUCUUCGGACGGCUUGCAAGGUGCUGCAUGGCUGUCGUCAGCUCGUGCCGUGAGGUGUCGGGUUAGGUCCCAUAACGAGCGCACCCCUCAUCAUUAGUUGCCAGCGAGUAAUGUCGGGGACUCUAAUGAAACUGCCGGUGUAAACCGUGAGGAAGGUGGGGAUGACGUCAAGUCAGCACGGCCCUUAUGUUCAGGGCUACACACGUGUUACAAUGGUCGAUACAAAGGGCAGCUACCUGGUGACAGGAUGCUAAUC